UUUUUGAAUUAAUAAUUUAAAGUCUAAUCUGCCCACUGAUAAAAAAUUAAAGGGCUGCAGUAUUUUGACUGUACAAAGGUAGCAUAAUCAUUAGUCUCUUAAUUGGUGACUUGUAUGAAAGAUUUGAUGAAAUAUAUACUGUCUCUUUUUAAUUUAUAGAAUUUAAUUUUUUAGUUAAAAAGCUAAAAUAUAUUUAAAAGACGAGAAGACCCUAUAGAGUUUAAUAUUUAUUUAAUUUAUAUUAAAAUUUUUUAUAAAAUUUAUAAUUUUAAUAUAUGUAAAUAUUUUGUUGGGGUGAUAAAAAAAUUAAAAUAACUUUUUUUAUAAUUUUACAUUAAUAAAUGAGUAAAUGAUCCGUAAUUUACGAUUAAAAGAAAAAAUUACCUUAGGGAUAACAGCGUAAUUUUUUUUUUUAGUUCAAAUAAGAAAAAAAGUUUGCGACCUCGAUGUUGGAUUAAGAUAAAAUUUAAAUGCAAAAGUUUAAAAUUUUUGAUCUGUUCGAUCAUUAAAAUCUUACA
rnacentral:rRNA from 1 species